rnacentral:rRNA from 1 species
CUACGGGGCGCUGCAGUAGGGAAUAUUGGGCAAUGGGCGCAAGCCUGACCCAGCAACGCCGCGUGCGCGAAGAAGGCCUUCGGGUCGUAAAGCGCUUUUCUGAGGGAUGAGAAAGGACAGUACCUCAGGAAUAAGCCUCGGCUAACUACGUGCCAGCAGCCGCGGUAAAACGUAGGAGGCGAGCGUUAUCCGGAUUUACUGGGCGUAAAGCGUGUGCAGGCGGUCUGGCAAGUUGGAUGUGAAAGCUCCCGGCUCAACUGGGAGAGGUCGUUCAAAACUACCGGACUAGAGUGUAUCAGAGGGAGAUGGAAUUCCCGGUGUAGUGGUGAAAUGCGUAGAUAUCGGGAGGAACACCAGUGGCGAAAGCGAUCUUCUGGGAUACUACUGACGCUCAGACACGAAAGCUAAGGUAGCGAACGGGAUUAGAUACCCUUGUAGUC